GACGUAGGUGGCGAACGUUAUCCGGAAUUAUUGGGCGUAAAGGAUGCGUAGAUGGUGUAGUAAGUUAUCGGUGGUAAAUCGAGGCUCAACCUCGUGGAAGUCGGUAAUACUGCUAUGCUAGAGGAUAGGAGAGGUUAACGGAACUCCCUGUGGAGCGGUGAAAUGCGUAGAUAUAGGGAAGAACACCAAUAAGGCGAAGGCAGUUAACUAUUCUAUUCCUGACAGUGAGGCAUGAAAGCGUGGGGAGCAAAACGG
rnacentral:rRNA from 1 species